UACGUAGGGUGCGAGCGUUAAUCGGAAUUACUGGGCGUAAAGCGUGCGCAGACGGUUAUUUAAGUCGGAUGUGAAAGCCCCGGGCUCAACCUCGGAAUUGCAUUCGAGACUGAAUAGCUAGGGUACGGAAGAGGGAAGCGGAAUUUCCGGUGUAGCAGUGAAAUGCGUAGAUAUCGGAAGGAACAUCAGUGGCGAAGGCGGCUUCCUGGUCCAGUACCGACGUUCAGGCACGAAAGCGUGGGGAGCAAACAGGAUUAGAUACCCUGGUAGUCCACGCCGUAAACGAUGGAUGCUAGCCGUUAGGCAGCUUGCUGCUUAGUGGCGCAGCUAACGCUUUAAGCAUCCCGCCUGGGGAGUACGGUCGCAAGGUUGAAACUCAAAUGAAUUGACGG
rnacentral:rRNA from 1 species